ensembl:snoRNA small nucleolar RNA SNORA5
UGCAGCCUUGUCAAAUUCAGUGUGUCCUCUUUGGUGGACCUCACUGGCCAAAAUGGCUGCCACAGAAACUGUAGUUCAUGGGCCCCACCUCCUUACAUUGUGGGGAGUGGGGAUAAAUAUGUACUACAGACAAAA